rnacentral:rRNA from 1 species
UAUCUCUGUAGAGUCUGCAUAUCAAUAAGCGGAGGAAAAGAAACUAACAAGGAUUCCCCUAGUAACGGCGAGUGAAGCGGGAAGAGCUCAAAUUUGAAAUCUUCAAGGUUUGACCUUGACGAAUUGUAGUUUAAAGAAGUGUUUUCGGUUAGAGGAGUGGUAAAAGUUCUUUGGAAUAGGACAUCAUAGAGGGUGAGAAUCCCGUAUUUGUACCAUUCUCUCUAGCUUUGUGAUACACUUUCAAGGAGUCGGAUUGUUUGGGAAUGCAGUCCAAAAUGGGUGGUAAAUUUCAUCUAAAGCUAAAUAUUGGCGAGAGACCGAUAGCGAAUAAGUACCGUGAGGGAAAGAUGAAAAGAACUUUGAAAAGAGAGUUAAACAGUACGUGAAAUUGUCAAAAGGGAAGCGUUUGACACCAGUGUUGUUUUUCCGAAAAUCAAUUAAAAAUGGAUUCAUGCUAAGUUGUAUUGACCUUAUCAGCUUGCAAUUUAGUUUUGGGUUUCUUUUUGAUGCACUUUUCGGUUAACAAGUCAACAUCAAUUUCCUUUGCUGUAAGAAGGCAGGAGGAAGGUGGCUUCAAUUUCGGUUGAAGUGUUUAUAGCCUUCUGUCUCUGCAGUCGGGGAGAUUGAGGUCUGCAGCGUAGAUCCUUCGGGGCUAGAUACAUUCGUGCUAAGUUAUAGCCUUUUAUAGACAACUUGUUGACUAUGAUUGGUCUUGUAAUUUACUCGCGAGUGCUAUUUUACCUACGCUUAGGAUGUUGAUCUACAGAGCGAGAGU